CUACGGGGGGCUCCAGCAAGGAAUAUUGUACAAUGGGGGAAACCCUGAUACAGCAACGCCGCGUGAAGGAAGAAGGCCUUCGGGUUGUAAACUUCUGUUUUAGAGGACGAAUAAAGUGACGGUACUCUUAGAGGAAGCCCCGGCAAACUACGUGCCAGCAGCCGCGGUAACACGUAGGGGGCAAGCGUUGUCCGGAAUCACUGGGCGUAAAGGGCGCGUAGGCGGUUUAUUAAGUUGCAUGUGAAAUCCCAGGGCUCAACUCUGGACCUGCAUGCAAAACUGGUAGACUUGAGUAUGGUAGAGGCAAGUGGAAUUCCUAGUGUAGCGGUGGAAUGCGUAGAUAUUAGGAGGAACACCAGUGGCGAAGGCGACUUGCUGGGCCAAAACUGACGCUGAGGCGCGAAAGCGUGGGGAGCAAACAGGAUUAGAUACCCCUGUAGUC
rnacentral:rRNA from 1 species